GCCUGGGUGGCUCAGUCGGUUAAGGGUCUGACUUCGGCUCAGGUCAUGAUCUCAUGGACUGUGAGUUCAAGCCUUGCCUUGGGCU
rnacentral:tRNA from 1 species